ACCUUAUCAAGAGCGGCUUCUGGCGUAAUGCGGGGGACUGGUCCCUAUGAAGCCCGGCAACCUCUCCGUUUUCCGGCUCACGGCAAAUGGAAAAGGUGCUACUUCCUGCGGCAGCAUAACUGCCGAAAGAUGAGGA
rfam:Eubacterium sp. CAG:786 genomic scaffold, scf567